rnacentral:rRNA from 1 species
GACGAACGCUGGCGGCGUGCUUAACACAUGCAAGUCGAACGGAAAGGCCCUGCUUUUGUGGGGUGCUCGAGUGGCGAACGGGUGAGUAACACGUGAGUAACCUGCCCUUGACUUUGGGAUAACUUCAGGAAACUGGGGCUAAUACCGGAUAGGAGCCCCUGCUGCAUGGUGGGGGUUGGAAAGUUUCGGCGGGGGGGGAUGGACUCGCGGCUUAUCAGCUUGUUGGUGGGGUAGUGGCUUACCAAGGCUUUGACGGGUAGCCGGCCUGAGAGGGUGACCGGCCACAUUGGGACUGAGCUACGGCCCAGACUCCUACGGGAGGCAGCAGUGGGGAAUAUUGCACAAUGGGCGGAAGCCUGAUGCAGCAACGCCGCGUGCGGGAUGACGGCCUUCGGGUUGUAAACCGCUUUCGCCUGUGACGAAGCGUGAGUGACGGUAAUGGGUAAAGAAGCACCGGCUAACUACGUG